rnacentral:SRP_RNA from 1 species
UAUCGGUCCUCUCGCAAUGAAUAUCUGUAAACCCCGCCAGGCCCGGAAGGGAGCAACGGUAGCAGGGACUUCAUGUGCCGAGAUGUGGCUGGUAGAG